GAGUCCAAUAAAUGGUAGUUGCAGAAAAAUUGAGAAAAUGACCAUUUGAAACCUGUAAACUGUGGAUGUGCUGGAUUAUCUGGAAAGGGAUUGGAUCAUCGAAAGUAGCAUAGAAGAACUGGUUCAGUGAUCUCCCACUGAAAAAUCUGAUUGAUUUGAGUUUGUCCACCUGAUCAAGGAAUCCCAAGGUAAAACUGCUUUUUGCAAAGAGAACAGGAAACCUGUCAAUGACGGUGAAGGGUGUGCCCUAAAGGUCAAAGGGUAAAUGCUGCUUUCUGCAGCACAGCUAAAUAUACCCAGCUCCACCAAGCAAUUCUGCUUCUCCUCCCUCAGUUACAGGAGUCUGUCACAGUUUUGAAGAGAGAUUGAAAAGGUCAGGAUUGUUUGCUUUAGGAGGAGAAGACUAAACGGCAGUGUACAAAAUACCUCAUGGCAUAGAAACAUGGCUUGGAGACUUCCAUUCUCCCUUUCUGACAAUUCAAGAACAGGACAGCUAAAGUAAUGGAAAGGCAGAACAUCUAAAAAAAAAAUCAGUCGCUCUG